GGCUUCUUGGUUUAGUGGCAGAAUUGCCGCUUCGGGUGCGGUAGACCCGGGUUCGAUUCCCGGAGAAGCCCA